GGGCCAGUGGCGGAAUUGGUAUACGCGCACGACUUAAAAUCGUGUCCCGUAAGGGGUGAGGGUCCGAUCCCCUCCUGGCCCACAA
rnacentral:tRNA from 2 species